rnacentral:tRNA from 1 species
GCCUGGGUGGCUCAGUGGUUGAGCAUCUGCCUUCAGUUCAGGGCGUGAUCCCAGGGUCCUGGGAUCGAGUCCCACAUCAGGCU